CACAUAUUUUUGCAAUAGAUAUAACAAAUGCAAGUUUAAUCUCUACAUAUUAGGUAUAUUAUAUUUUACACGAAUAUUAUUAGUUAGCUACAAUUACUUAAUUU